rnacentral:rRNA from 1 species
AUGUCCCAUUAUCCAUUCGAUCGUAGUUUUCACCCUGGGAUGAGCACCACUCUUCUGAGUCUAGUUACCGAUUUCAGGAUGGACAAUAGGAUAGUUCCAUGGGACGAACUCACCGGUAGUGACACCAUAAUGAAUGAGUUGGCUCACCAAUUACGUAGGUCUGGGUGGCCUGAAAGGACCUAUGAGGAGGUACGUCAAGAACUUCUUAGGUUGCAUGAAAGGUGGAAGAAGGUAGUGGAGCCGAAGAGUGAAACUUUCAGAAGGACUGCAGCAAAGAAUACAUUUUUAUGGACUGAGGAGAGCGAGGACGACGAAGAUGUCUUCAUGCCGCCGCUUCCGGGUUCUGCAUCGUCGAAGGGCAAGAGUUCUGCAUCGUCCAAAGGCAAGACUUCUGCAUCCUCGAAGGGCAAGAGUUCUGCAUCCAGCAAGGGCAAGAGUUCUGCAUCCAGCAAGGGCAAGAGUUCUGCAUCGACGGAGGGCAAGAGGACCGCAUCGUCGAAGGGCAAGAGGGUUGCAUCAACAGAGGAUGACGAUGAUGACUUCAUGUAG